AACCGGCUGGGCCUGUUGGUGAGGGAGGAUGGCGGACCGGGUGUGUGUGCUCGCACAUGAUAGUCUUCCUAUUAUGAGGACGUCGUGGAGGAACCUCCUAAUUUCACUCAUGGAGCACUUACCCUCUGCUGCUUCGUUUUAUGAAGACGGAGUCGUCAUGUCCAGCGUCCACAGCGGCAGUGGUGCCGGAGCGCUGUCCGAGGCUGAAGUGUUUCACCUUGCUCCCCAGGUCAAGCCCCCCGUUAGCCAAGGGAAAGAAAGACUCCUGGUGCUGUCUGAGCAGCAGUGCCACACUGCCCCUGGUGGGAAGGAAGGACAUCACAGUGAAGGAGGAAGCAGACAGUCCACCGAGAAGCAAAAUAAGUUUCAAGAACCCGUCGAUCAAAGCAGAAAGUAAAAGCAAGACCGUCUGGCAUCUCUGACAUCUGAACAGUUGUGUCGACUACUUAAUUCUCCUCAGAGAAACAGGCCCUCAUGGAGAGCUGCAUUAUGAAACAUUCUGUCACAAGAUGUUUGUCGUCAAGUACAGUCCCGUUGUACAUAGACGUCGCCCAGUGAUGGGUGUUUGCGUGAUGAGGGGAGGUGAGAGGUUCCAGUCUGACAGGCCAUCUCCUGAAGACAGUCCUGUGAGCCGGGCGUGUUUGAUUCUACUGCGUGGAGCCUGCUCAGCCGGUCCCGUCUGAUAUUUCACAACAACGGCAGGUGCAGGUAGUCAUGACGACACUGAAGCCACACAGCAGAGGGGCAAACAUGCCCUGCUUCACCUUUUACAAGUCAGGUUUUUGGGAUGAAAUCGUAUUUACAAAAUCAGAAACACUUUACAUUAAGGUUACAUGAACACAGCAUUGUAAUAGCAUUUCCUAUGUAUCUAAAAUGUUAAGUCAUUCAAUGGUAUUAAGUGUUAGCGGUGAAGGUUAAGUGUAAGAAGUGAAGUAUCGAGGAGGGGCGUAAGGGGUGAGGGGAUGUUGGAAACUGGCAGUUGAAUGUUGUUACCAAACAAGAUCAAUGUUAACAUCCACUUACCCCUGCAUAGCUCAACCAUCCCCAUACCAGGUUUCACCUGUGUCAUUACUUGUACCACUAAACUGUAAUUAAGUGCUACUACAUAGCAGCAAUGUGCCUACAUUCUUGUUAAGUAUUGCUUUGUGAUGACAUGGUAGUUCAUGUAACUUUAAUGCCAAGUGUUUGUGUAGCUGCAUGGUAGUUCAUUUAAACUUAAUAUAAAGUAUUGCCCACAAGUCAUUUACAUAAUAAACUGUGUGCUAACAUCCUAAUUAUUCACAGCAAGACAAGCAUUUCUGUGGCUGUGGAGAUCCUCCAUUGAAGCAGUCUAGUCUACAACUAACAGGCUCUAAAGUGUGUGCAAGACAGCUGAGUAUACAUAGUAAAUACUACUGUUGGUGUACUUGCUGCAUGUGUACUGUAUGUAUAAAACUGCUUGUGUGAGCAUAUCAGGUGUCAGUGGGCCUACAUCAGCAAGAGCUUCAAAUGAUAUCCAAGCAUAUCAACCCGGUUGGCUGAGGUUCCAGACAAGACUGUUCCUGUAUGAUUUGGUACUUAUGUGUUUGUGCAAAAUGUGCUUCGAUCUCCUGUUACACGGACUCAAUUUUGACCUGUAGCACAGAGGGAGGUCAAACAAGAAGGGGAAGU